AGCGGCGGACGGGUGAGUAACACGUGGGCAACCUGCCUCAUAGAGGGAAUAGCCUCCCGAAAGGGAGAUUAAUACCGCAUAAGAUUGUAGCUUCGCAUGAAGUAGCAAUUAAAGGAGCAAUCCGCUAUGAGAUGGGCCCGCGGCGCAUUAGCUAGUUGGUGAGGUAACGGCUCACCAAGGCGACGAUGCGUAGCCGACCUGAGAGGGUGAUCGGCCACAUUGGGACUGAGACACGGCCCAGACUCCUACGGGAGGCAGCAGUGGGGAAUAUUACACAAUGGGGGAAACCCUGAUGCAGCAACGCCGCGUGAGUGAUGACGGCCUUCGGGUUGUAAAGCUCUGUCUUCAGGGACGAUAAUGACGGUACCUGAGGAGGAAGCCACGGCUAACUACGUGCCAGCAGCCGCGGUAAUACGUAGGUGGCGAGCGUUGUCCGGAUUUACUGGGCGUAAAGGGAGCGUAGGCGGAUUUUUAAGUGAGAUGUGAAAUACUCGGGCUUAACCUGAGUGCUGCAUUUCAAACUGGAAGUCUAGAGUGCAGGAGAGGAGAAGGGAAUUCCUAGUGUAGCGGUGAAAUGCGUAGAGAUUAGGAAGAACACCAGUGGCGAAGGCGCUUCUCUGGACUGUAACUGACGCUGAGGCUCGAAAGCGUGGGGAGCAAACAGGAUUAGAUACCCAGGUAGUCCACGCCGUAAACGAUGAAUACUAGGUGU
rnacentral:rRNA from 1 species